GACGAACGCUGGCGGCGUGCUUAACACAUGCAAGUCGAACGGAAAGGCCCUGCUUUUGUGGGGUGCUCGAGUGGCGAACGGGUGAGUAGCACGUGAGUAACCUGCCCUUGACUUUGGUAUAACUUCAGGAAACUGGGGCUAAUACCGGAUAGGAGCUCCUGCUGCAUGGUGGGGGUUGGAAAGUUUCGGCGGUUGGGGAUGGACUCGCGGCUUAUCAGCUUGUUGGUGGGGUAGUGGCUUACCAAGGCUUUGACGGGUAGCCGGCCUGAGAGGGUGACCGGCCACAUUGGGACUGAGAUACGGCACAGACUCCUACGGGAGGCAGCAGUGGGGAAUAGUGCACAAUGGGCGGAAGCCUGAUGCAGCAACGCCGCGUGCGGGAUGACGGCCUUCGGGUUGUAAACCGCUUUCGCCUGUGACGAAGCGUGAGUGACGGUAAUGGGUAAAGAAGCACCGGCUAACUACGUG
rnacentral:rRNA from 1 species